rnacentral:lncRNA from 1 species
CCCCCAGUAUAUAAGGUAUGCUAAGGGGGCGUCGCGCUGUUGCAGGCUAUCGUGUGUUAACCUGUACUUCUGCCGCAGAGUUUGGAGAAAGCGGCAGCAGAUUGUGCUGCCGCAGGCUGGAGCCUGGAACCUGGAGCCCUGGAGCCUUGAAUGGUGUGUGGUGGCAAUGGAGAGAGGCAGCUGGCAGUGACAGCUGCUCCGUGCUUGGCUACAGGAAGGAAAGAAGGAGAAAGCACCUACCAUAGGCUGGAGGCUAGAGCCUGCAGGACUGCGGCUGGCCUCGCUGGCUCGCCUCCCUGGCUGGCCUCGCUGUGGUUGGUGGCAGCGACGGAUACUGCAGCUGGCCAGAGUGUAGAAAGGCAAUGGGGUAGGCUUUUUUGGCUGUGUGUGUCCAGCUGUUCCAUGCCAGGAGGAGGAGGAGUUACAUGCUGGAAGCUUGCAGAUAGCCUGGGGCUGCUGCUCGCCUUGCUGCGGUUGGUGGCAGCUACCGAGACUACCUCGCACCAGAGCGCAAGGUAAGCUGUCAUCAGUUGGAGGUAAGCAGAAGACAGUAGAGAGUACAGAGCCCUGGACUGUGACUCAGAGGAUGAGCACCAGAUCCAGUUUGCUGUGCCACAGUGCUCAGCAUGAUGUAAACUCCACUGCGGACAGAUGCAGCCAAGAAGACAGGUCACCUUCUACCAACUCCCACCAGAGGAAACUCUUCCCCAGGACCCAGUACGUUGGCCCUCUGACCCUGCACACAGCACAUGAUGCUGAGGUUCAGUGCUGAACAAGAGCUACUGAGAGCCAGAGAUUCACUUCUUCCAUGGAGCCCCACUCAUGGAUGGAGGCUCUGUCCCGGGUCCAGUGCCACUGGGAACACUGGGUCUCUGGUUUCUAGCUCUGUCCUAUGGCAGAGGUUCCACCCCACAAUAACCGAAGUGCUGAGAAGGUGGGAAGCUCCUGCCCGACCCUCCACUGAGAGCUCAGCUCCUAGGCUGAGGAAUAAAACAGCUCAACUUUGUCUACACCUGCAGAACCUUGUUUAGGAGCUCUGUCCCAGGAGAGAGGGGGCAAUGGAAUUCAGUCAUAAAAUAUGAUCCUUAAUUAGUCCUAAAAAUCCUAACUUCAGUAACAGCAGAUUGUGGACAAAUUGAAAGCCUGCCAGUGCUCUCAAAAACAGUGGAUGGUGUGGUGGAAAGCCCUUGGAAGGAGACGGGUGGAUGCAUGGGAGAUGCAGGCUACACUGCAGGGCUGCUGGCUUGCAGGAGAGAACCGAGGACAAGGGAGAGCUGGGGAAAGUUCUCUUGUGGUUGAAAUAAAUGCCAGACACUCUUCAAUGGA